AACCAGCUCUUCAAGUGGUCGGGAUAAUUAUUGGGCUUAAAGUGUCCGUAGCCGGUUUGGUAAGUUCCUGGUAAAAUCGGGUAGCUUAACUAUCUAUAUGCUAGGAAUACUGCUAUACUAGAGGGCGGGAGAGGUCUGAGGUACUACAGGGGUAGGGGUGAAAUCUUAUAAUCCUUGUAGGACCACCAGUGGCGAAGGCGUAAGACUGGAACGCGCCUGACGGUGAGGGACGAAAGCCAGGGGAGCGAACCGGAUUAGAUACCCGGGUAGUCCUGGCUGUAAACGAUGCAUACUAGGUGAUGGCACGGCCAUGAGCCGUGUCAGUGCCGUAGGGAAACCGUUAAGUGUGCCGCCUGGGAAGUACGGUCGCAAGGCUAAAACUUAAAGGAAUUGGCGGGGGAGCACCACGAAGGGUGAAGCCUGCGGUUC
rnacentral:rRNA from 1 species